UGUCAACUGGAUGGGACCUGGUGUCACUCACUGAGAUGGCAGCGAGCUUACGAGCAGUAACAGGAUGAGGAAGUCCUGGUUCCCUCACAUGUGUCCAUCACUAACCAGGACAUGUGGGCUCCCUGGGCAGACUGAUGAUUUUCUACUCCUUGAAAAUAAUAUUUUUCAAAUACUUUUAAAAAUAUUUCUUUGGUAGGACAGGGAAAAUGGAUUUUCUGUUAACAGUUGUAUGAUUUUCUGUUUAAGAGAAAGGUUUUAUUACAUACACUGGACUUUUUAGUUUAUGAUAAAUCAGUUUUUUAAAAAUAUAAAUUCCACUGCUGAGUGUUCUCUUUUAGAGUUUACCCAACUUACGUAUCACCAGUUAGAGGAGGAGAUAACUCGCAUCCUGUUUCUGAUUUAUCUCGGUACUAGUUUACCCCUUAGUCAAGCUCUACAUCUGCCAUGGAAAUGAUGGUGUCUACUUCAGUCAUGGCUCCAACUGACCCAGAAAGGAGCUCAACUGAGGCGGAGAGGGUGGGUGACGCUUUCCCUUAGACACUGGUGAAGCGAGGGACCAUCACAAAGGAGGACGGUAAGUACUCACCAAGCAGGCAGCCAACGCCCCCCUGACCUAGAGCACCCCUGCCGUUCUACUGCUGCCUUCCAGGUAAGUAGAAGCAGGUAAUCUGGGGCCAUAUCUCAUCAUAGUUGUCUGUUGUAGUUUGGAAACUGCAGGGAGGUUCUGCUUUAUUCUUAGCACAAAUAGUUUUUAGUCUGACUCCAUUUAGCUUCCACUGUGAGCAGAAGUCUGACAGUCAGAGCUUUCUCAGAAUGUCUGACUGUGACAAAAGUUUGGCAAGAUGAACUUCGUUUCAUUAAGAAUAAAGCAGGAAAGUAAAAUCUGCAGGAAGCCGACUGGGGCCCUGCCCUUAAUUCCCAUCAAAGGGACUCUCAAGCACAAUGAUUAACACCUUUUUAAACCUGGUGUGGGCAGGUGUGUAUUUUUAUACUUAGGCUUUUUUGUGUGCUGGGUGUGUGUUCACCUCAUCCUCUUAAUGUAUGAAACACCAAAUCAUCAGAGGCUGAAGGAAGCCAUGGAAAGAUAAACAGCACUUGGACGCGAAUACCUGGCACAAAUUCUGAGUUUGACAUCUGUUAGCUUCGGGACCUGGGUAAGCUGAUGCCAUCUCUCUCUGAUUCUCAUUACCUUCACGGUUAAUUUGUGAUAAUGAAGCAGAGGAAAUGUGGGGAUUAAAGGUGCUGUGUAUAAGGUGAUAGGAUCAUAAACAGCUGCCAUUCUUCUAUAUAUAUAUAUAUAUAUUUAAUGGGAUAAUGGCUUGGUUUGUUGAAACAGGAUCUGUCAGGACAGAAAGCAUUCCAAAGAAGACAUGGAUUUCCUCUGAGGACAGAUGCGGAAGAUACUGGAGAAGAAAGUCCUCAAAAGGAUGACAGUGAUAAAGAGAAAAGGGAAGUUUCAAGCAGCCAUCAUUUAAAACCCAAGAAAAGAAAGAGAUGAUGGUGUUUGUAUGUUGUUUAAAAGAAAGCAUAGAAGGGAAACAGCUGCUCUGAUGGAUGGCAAGGAGGAAAUGGAAACAACCAGCAGGAAAGCCCAGUUUGGAAGGCAUCUGAUGUGUAUCUUUUAAACAGAAAUCACAGAUUUCCCAGGAGUCAUGAUGUGCUGUUAGUUACAGUGGAAGACUCUGAAGGGUUCCACAGAGCACUUACCUCUUGACCCGAGGAGAAGCGGGAAGCUCCCUUCUUGCUGGACGUCGAACAUCCCAUUUGCAGGGAGCACGUAAAACCUGUCCUGACUCAACAGUCACCUUCAGGGAGAGGCGGUCUGGAGGCACUGGGUUCGCCCAUUAGGGUGGAUACUCACGUCUUUUAAGGAUCUCAUAUUACACAUGAGAAAACUGAGCCAGAACUCAGCCACGUGGGCCCAUGAGAGGCUGGGAAAUGAGGUUCAGCUACGUGCCUAUGAGGAAGGGAAGGUUCUCAGCAUGACGCAGCCCAGGGUGGGAAGGAGGUACCUUGUGUCCGCUGUGGUGAUCUACGUUUUCUACAGUCCUUGCUCCGAACUCCAGUGUAUGAAAUGCUACACGGUGGACUGUGCUGUUUCCUACCAGCGAUGGGAUAAUGGGAAGCUGAGUUCAUGCUCAGAGACUUGGAAUUGCCAACCAAUUACCAAGGAAUCAGACGUAAUGGAAGCACAGACACAUCAUGAGAACAGAACUUCCAGUCUAGUUUUUGAUCGAAGUUUGGUUUCGAGCACAGAAAUCUGUGAGAAAUCCCACGAGAAGAUUCCAUGAAGGCAGCAACAAAGACUCCUGUUUCAAUUGACUUUUUAUGUAAAUGGAAAAAAAUGAAUUGGAAGCUCACACCUGAAAAUUUCAGAUGACCAGAAGCGAGAAGUUCGGCUCACAGUCACACCAUAGACACAGACACAAAGGUGGGAGGCGUCACUCCUAACGUCAUCUGCCAAAACGGAGGAAGAAAAGAGAGGCCCGACAAACCGGCCCUGCCUGCUCCUCCCGCGCACCUCUGCCGCGCCGCAGCGCUGUGGGAGGACGUUCCGCCGUGAUCCUCGGAUAUUAAGGACAAUAAGAAAAUGAAAGAGACCCCGUCAUAACAGGCAGAAAACUUCUGUUACCACAUAUCAAAGGACAAAGGUUCACGAAGGAUAAACUAAAACCAAUUCUUUCUCAGAAUUAAGCCAGCCGAACCCUUCAUAGAAGUGAGAACCAACUGAAAACCAGUGUUGUAUUACGUCCAUAAGUGUGGUUCCUGAGAGGAAGAACCUCACUAGGGAGUUACCCUCUCUCACUCAUUAGAGAAGCUGGAUUCCAGCUGCAUCCAGUGUUGCCAUGUGACGGGGACAGGCCCUGAGGAGGUUAGGUCUCAGGCACUCAGAGUUCCAGAAAGACACAGCAAGACAGAGCCAUUGGCGGUGCAUCACCCGGGCAUCUGGGCAUCCAGGACCGCACUGUUACUAUUUUCAUUUCUAAGUCCACAGGACAGUGCACUGCCAUCGUCCCGAAAGCGAACAUGUUGCAUGUUUUGCCCACAUGAACAUGAUGGUCAGCAUGCCUCUCGCCACCUUUAUGAAACAGCAGAUGCUGGCCCUGGCGGUUCUCCAGCCCUCCUUGUGCCGUCAGGCCUAACAGCCCCCUUGGCUAGUUGGAGCGCUGUUCAUCUCUGGUCCUGAGUGAAAGGGCUGCGCCCCGGCCCUGCUGUGCAGUUGCUUUGGUCUCAGGGAUAAGAGGCUGGCCUGCAGGGGUGGGCAAGGAUUCUCCCCUGGCUCCCACACAGGUCAGCUGAGGGGAGGCUCACGCAGCUCAGGGUUGAGAAGGCAGUAGGAGCCAUGCUCCUUGAGUGGUGCUGCUUCCUGAUGGGGGACCCUGUGUUCACGUUAGCCUCUAAUGUGACAUAAUGAAUUAUGAACUAAAGGUUAUUGGAAGAUGUGUGCCUUCUGCAGAACACAAGUGUAAUGCAUGAAAGCAAACCACAGGUCCACUUAGGAGAGUGGAUCAAUAUGUAUAUUGCUCUUUAAUGAAAGGAAAUAGCCCUGAUAGAUCUUCCUUGGGAUUGAGGACGAGUAUAUAUUUGUAGUCAGCACAUGAGGUGUUUCAUUGAUCUCAGUCAAAUUAAAAUUUUAUUACCAAGUAA